rnacentral:rRNA from 1 species
GUGUUUGUGUGGUAAAUAACACUAGGUUGCUAGGUAAGAACAAUACUUGAUACUAUAUAAACUUACUUUUAGUAUAUUUUCUAGUAAAUGAGCAGUAAACUAAUAAACGUCUUUUCACACGUUUCCGUGAUAUUUGAAGUUCUAAGCCUGUUUAACCGAUAACUCUUCUCUCUUCCCGUGCUUUCUUCACUUCUUUCCCUGAACUCGCUCUUCUUAACUUCAUUAGUUCCCCGGUUCGAUAUCUACCGUCCUGGUUGAACCCUUCUUUCUUCUCUUUAUCGUCCCGGUUUAGCAUUUCACCGUCUUGUCUCCUCCCCUAGUUUUAGGGAUCGCGUCGGAUUUAAGGGAAACCCGGACCGUGUGUAGAGAGAGGGAGUGGGGAGGAAGAGGUGAUGGCCGGCAGCGGCGCCGAUCCGGCCGCACCGCCACGCGGUGGCGCGGUGGUCGUGUGGGUGGUGUGCGGUGGUUUAGGUAGGUGGUAGCGGUGGUAGAGGUCGGUGGAGGUGUGGAGCGCGCGGCCUGGUCUGUUCUCCCAGUGCCCGCAGACCAGGAGGCGCACUCGCGGGGGUACAACGACUAGAAGAAGAGGUUGACGGCAACGAGGAGGGGAGCGGGGAAGACGACGACGAGAAGGGACGAAGACGAAGGAUACGGAACGACGACGAGGAUUGAACGACGAGCGACGACGACGAAGAAGUAGGAGUUUAGACGACGAUGUGAAGAGACUUAAACUUAGAACGACGACGACGACGAGAGAGAGAGAGAGAGAGAGAGAGAGAGAGAGAGAGAGAGAGAGAUAACGCUUGAAAUCUUCACAUUAUUACAAGUCUUAACACAUUACAGGUCCCAACACAUUAUAAGUCUGACCAUAUUAUAUCAUGAACAAUACAACCUAGACUGAACAACUACGGGAGAAUUAAACCCUCCACUAACUAGAUAGUCUUAGACGAAUACUCAUAAUCAUAAAACGAUCGUACAUACACACAAGUGGGACACAUAAAGAUGAAGGUCAUGAUCAAUUGAAACACACACAAAUUAAAAGUCAGAGACACUAUCGAAGCAGAGACACUGUUUAUACAAACAUUACACUGGGUAUAGGUAAGACGAUAUACACAAGUACAGGACAAAAAGGAAACACAAUGAUAAAAUCAAAGAGUACGUUUAUUUUUAUUAUGGUUUUUCUGUCUCUCAUAUUAGACUUGGAGGUAAACGAAGAAAAGUAAAUGAAACAGACAACUAAAAGACCUUGACAGAAUCUAUCGAAUCCAAAUAAAAGGACGAUAGUAGUGGGCUUAGUACAAUGGAUCGAAAUCAGAACACGGCAGCAACUAGCAGAUCAGGGACACCUCUUAAGUUGUAGGUAUCAAACCCACAUUUUUGGGAUGACAUGAAUGUUUUGCUAGUAAAACCGCGGUAACGGCCCCCGAUCGCAGCACGCUGGCACAAUCCGAUAUCUGAUCCAAAACGAAGACAAAGAUAGACCACGGUAUAUAAACACUAUAUAGAGAAUGGGGAUUGGUGACAAGGUCAAUAGAAGAGAAAGAAAAGAACAAGUAAAACAUCCAACUUAACAGAAGAACCUUUACCGUAAGAUGAGUCUAUUAGUACGAAUACGUUCGUUGUGAUGUUUAUCGUGCCUUUCAUAAGUUCUUGACUAUUCCUUAACCCAUGUUACUCCUCUCGUUGUUGAUACGUGGUGUUGUCAAAAUAAGUCGAGGAUAAGUAUAUGGAGUCUUGGUCCUCUACAACGGUUACCUCAAUUUACCAGGAGGUAAACCAGUUGGUUGUGGAAGUUGUGUUCACGGGUGUGUUCUACUAAAACUGCUAUAUCUGUUCGAGUGUAACGAAUCAGAGCUCAAGUGAACCUCACGACUUCUACUAGGUUAGUCCGGCCACUAUGAUCUCCUUUACUUCUUCUAGUUCUCACCUUUUCUCAAUCACCUCCUUCAUUCCUUCUAACUCUUCUUGUAGUUGCGACCGCCGUGAUAAAGAAGUGUCGAUCUCGACUCAUAAAGUCCCUAUAGGGAACUCCACACACUCAAAGGUUGUGGCAGUGUAGGUCGACUCGUUCUAUCGUUCUCGGGUCUCCUUCUCUAUGGAGUCUAACUUCUUCUAGUUGAGUUUCUGUUCCUUGUUCUCCUAGGUCUCGAGCUUUCGGGUUCGUUAGUUCAACUUCUAAGUAGUAGAUAAUGAGAACUUCUUCAUCUUCUUCGACAACAUCAACUUCUACUUCUUGCUCUUUAAGUAAACGGAUAACAGUAUGUUCUCGCAUUACAUCGUCCAAAUAGAUUAGGAGAACUACUGUACGCAGGUAUACUAGACAAACGAUGAUGAAACGUAACGUACUACGGUAGACAAUUUCAUCUAAACUUUUUCAUAAACGAACCUAUACUAGUAUAUAUGGGACAAUCACCGUAAUGAGUGUAAUCACAACUACUGUCAAUGAAAGGAGCACGAUCUGCAUACGAAUUACUUUGUAAAGUAAGAGUACGAUCUUAGUACGAAUUACUUUGUAUAGUAGGUGUACGAUCAUAACUCGAACGACUAAGGCUGGUAGGAUUUGUACACGAAAUAUCGAUACGAAUACAUUAACCUAUAAGCUAACUACUGAACCUCCCGUAACAGGGAUGGUGAACGUAACAGAGAAAGCAACUCACGAGAAAAUCCAAGAACGAACACGUGUUUAGUGAAGUACGACUGGUCCAAGCUCCACUGUAAGGAACCCUGGGACCACCUGAGUCUCGUACCACUUCUCCUCUUCGUUCCCCGUGUGUGCUUCUUCUCACUUCGACCUCGUCCGUACUCCUAUCUCUUCGUUUUCCUCUCCUCGACGUCAACCACUCCACUAGCUCUCACGAUGUAGUAGUUUCGGGCCACUCAACAAAGUACUGGGUAAAACUUUAGUAGUAGGUAACUACGAACGACUUAAUUUAACGAUAAACCCAACGAACACGGUAAAGAAUUUACAACAGGGUGACUUAAAGUGGAAACUGUAUACCACGAACUACUCUUAUACGCUUGACUAACAACUUACGGGACAUUUGAUCACUAGAUGUGGGACAAACGAAACGACUUUCAUCACUUUCGAUAAUCAAAACUCACGAGUUUAGGGAUCACGUGAUCAUUUGAAUUAGUAAAAGACGAAAAUGGAACUAUGUGAGUCUAGUAAUUCACAAUCUACUACUCAAACACGGAUAACACAAGGGUAACUCUCGUUAGUGAAAUGGUGAUACCUGAUCAUACGAUACAAGGGACCUAGCCACCGUACACUUGGUCUGUACCUCUUCACUACUAAGUACAAAAACACGAAUACGCAAUAAGUAAAUUCUAUUCAUUAUUACUUAUUUAUUCAGAUUGAUGGAUGUCAUCGUACAGUACAAAGGACCUAGCCACCGUACACUUUAGUCCAAUCGAACCCGUCAUUAAUUAUUAUUUUUAACAUUAACAGUUUGGUCCACAUAUGGUUCAAGAGACCUAGCCACCAUACAAGGAAACCCCUCUGUUUGUUUUUUUAACCAGCUCGGUCCACAUAUCGUACAAGAGCCCUAGCCACCAUACAAGGAAACCACUCUGGCUAUUUUAUAAUAGUAAUGAAGGAAGUUUAAGUUAUUCACGAAGUUGGUAUUACAAUACAAGACCUAUUAUUCAAAAAAGACCCUAGUACGAGAGAAAUCCUUGGGAAACCGUGUUAGUCGUAAACUUGAACAACUAGGUGAAAAUAGUAACAUUUUCAAAUUUUAUUAUCUCAGAUGAUCAUAGGAUAACGAAACAUCGUGAGAAUUGGUAUCUAAAAGUGAUCGCUUCAAGUUUCGUACGUAACAAACCUCUAGAUGAAGUGACCCUGUAGGAGGUCAGUCAAGCGGCAAGUGAUGGAACGAGGACAGUUUACGGAAAUGAACUCCUGUUCAUUUCUAAAUUCACACCCCCUUGAACUAUUCACGUAAAGGAUAAGGAUAAAACCGUGUGUUUGUGUGGUAAAUAACACUAGGUUGCUAGGUAAGAACAAUACUUGAUACUAUAUAAACUUACUUUUAGUAUAUUUUCUAGUAAAUGAGCAGUAAACUAAUAAAACGUCUUUUCACGCGUUUCCGUGAUAUUUGAAGUUCUAAACCUGUUUAACCGAUAACUCUUCUCUCUUCCCGUCCUUUCUUCACUUCUUUCCCUGAACUCGCUCUUCUUAACUUCAUUAGUUCCCCGGUUCGAUAUCUACCGUCCUGGUUGAACCCUUCUUUCUUCUCUUUAUCGUCCCGGUUUAGCAUUUCACCGUCUUGUCUCCUCCCCUAGUUUUAGGGAUCGCGUCGGAGUUAAGGGAAACCCGGACCGUGUGUAGAGAGAGGGAGUGGGGAGGAAGAGGUGAUGGCCGACGGCAGCGCCGGUCCGGCCGCACCGCCACGCGGUAGCGCGGUGGUCGUGUGGGUGGUGUGCGGUGGUUUAGGUAGGUGGUAGAGGUCGGUGGAGGUGUGGAGCGCGCGGCCUGGUCUGUUCUCCCAGUGCCCGCAGACCAGGAGGCGCACUCACGGGGGUACGACGACUAGAAGAAGAGGUUGACGGCAACGAGGAGGGGAGCGGGGAAGACAACGACGAGAAGGGACGAAGACGAAGGAUGCGGAACGACGACGAGGAUUGAACGACGAGCAACGACGAAGAAGAAGUAGGAGUUUAGACGACGACGUGAAGAGACUUAGACUUAGAACGACGAGAGAGAGAGAUAACGCUUGAAAUCUUCACAUUACAAGUCUUAACUCAUUACAGGUCCCAACACAACAAUACAACCUAGACUGAACAACUACGGGAGAAUUAAACCCUCCACUAACUAGAUAGUCUUAGUCAUAAUCAUAAAACGAUCGUACAUACACACAAGUGGGACACAUAAAGAUGAAGGUCAUGAUCAAUUGAAACACACACAAAUUAAAAGUCAGAGACACUAUCGAGGCAGAGACACUGUUUAUACAAACAUUACACUGGGUAUAGGUAAGACG